rnacentral:lncRNA from 1 species
UGUUGAAGCAAUACUAACUUGAGCAUCGGAGGGUCUUGCCGGAGCACCCCCAACUCCGAUUUAGACUUUCUUUGUAGGUCCCGACGGCGGUCGUGGUCAUCCCAGCUCCAGCUUCUCCGACUUUGAUAAAAUUCUGCACCAAUAGAAUUGGCGCUAGAGGAAGGGCUGGCUGUGUCUUUGCAGUACCCCUGUUCUUAAAAGAGUCUCAACGGGACUGAUUCCGGUCAUCUUCUCCACCAUCCUCUUCUCCUUCUUCUACUAGAUCUUCUCUGAUGCCUCCCCGUAGAGCAUCCACCAGGCGAUCCACGACCUCAGCGGCC